UACGAGAGGCCCAAACGUUAUUCGGAUUUACUGGGCUUAAAGAGUUCGUAGGCGGCGCGGAAAGUGGGGUGUGAAAUCCCUCGGCUCAACCGAGGAAUUGCGCCUCAUACUACCGUGCUCGAGGAACCUAGAGGUGAGCAGAACUGAUGGUGGAGCGGUGAAAUGCGUUGAUAUCAUCAGGAAUACCGGAGGCGAAGGCGGCUCACUGGGGGUUUUCUGACGCUGAGGAACGAAAGCCAGGGGAGCGAACGGG
rnacentral:rRNA from 1 species